UUUGGACUGAACAUCAUUUACAAUAUCCUGUAGAUUAUCAAUGUCUUUGAAAAGUAUUGGCUCCUGUUCAACUAAAUGAAAUGGAAGUCUUUCUACAGGGGGGUUCGAUAGUGGAUAUCAAAGCCAUAUAUCCUCCAUAUUGAUUCAGGAGCAGAUAUGUAUCUACAAUCAAGAUAGUAUUGUAUUUCAUCAAGUCUUUCUUUCGAAUUGGAAGAUGUCGCAUUCUUGCUUUUAUGUUGAAGAGAUGCUGAGACAUAAUCGGGUCCCUUAGUGAUAUAUUUGAAGAGCAUGAGUGACUAUAUGAAGAUCCAUUUUUGAAGAUUGCACUAUCUCGGACCAAGAGAAAGCAGAGGCGGAGGGAAUUAUUCAGGAGGUGUUAUGGCGUCAGAGGUGGAAAUAAACCAAAUAUAUAAUUAACAAAUAGUUUAUUAAUUGUUAGUUUCUCCA